UACAGAGGGGGCAAGCGUUGUUCGGAAUUACUGGGCGUAAAGGGCGCGUAGGCGGCCUGUUAAGUCGAACGUGAAAUCCCCGGGCUCAACCCGGGAACUGCGUCCGAUACUGGCAGGCUUGAAUCCGGGAGAGGGAUGCGGAAUUCCAGGUGUAGCGGUGAAAUGCGUAGAUAUCGGGAAGAACACCAAAGGCGAAAGCGCUCUGCUGGGCCGAAACUGACACUGAGAGACGAAAGCUAGGGGAGCGAAUGGG
rnacentral:rRNA from 1 species